UCUACACUGAUGUGUCUCCACCAACUCCCUCUCUUUGAAGAUGCUUUAACUUUUAUCAUGGUGUGCUUUCCAAAUCCUGGAGAACUGCAGCACAGGCGCUCCCUGUGGUGUGCGUUUGCCAUCAUUGCUCCAGCCGGAGGCUCGGCGCGGACCCGGAGCGCAGAAAAUUCACAGAGCAAAAGAGGCCAGCACAUAAAAUAACAUUGGCUGAAUUAUCAUUAUCUGCCUUCUGUGGAAGAGGAGGCCACAGGAGAGAGUUACUAUACCCUAACUCAUUGUACCAGUGCACACCCAGAGUGAAGUUUUUCUUUCAACUGUGAUAGCCAUGAAUCAAUGCAUACGAGAAU